CUGCAACUUUUUUGAUCAAGUUUGUUAAUAUUAGUGAUGUAAAUGUUAGUUAAACUGUUAGAUUAAUAGUGCAAAUGGGAUUAGUUCAUAAGUUAGUUAAGAUCUUUUGUUCACAAAGUUAGUUAUCAAGUUGAGUAGUUACUUGAAGUGUAUAUAUACUCUAGCAUGUACAACAUAAGAAAGAAGGUUGAAUAACAUUUCAAUAAGAUUUGGCUCUCCUUCCCCUAUUCUACCACAUCUCUACUCUCUUCUUCUUCUACUUUCUUUCUUCUCUGAUCUUAAUUUCUUUCUCUGCAUUGUGGAGUUCAUCAAGAACUGCCACUCUUACAUUGAUAAGUUCUUAAAAACGACAAAGUUAUCUAAAUUUGGUCAUGUACCUCGAAAAAGAUUA
rnacentral:lncRNA from 1 species